CGCUUAUGCGUUGUUGGGUAGGGGAGCGUUCUGUAAGCCUGUGAAGGUGGCCUGUGAGGGUUGCUGGAGGUAUCAGAAGUGCGAAUGCUGACAUAAGUAACGAUAAAGCGGGUGAAAAGCCCGCUCGCCGGAAGACCAAGGGUUCCUGUCCAACGUUAAUCGGGGCAGGGUGAGUCGACCCCUAAGGCGAGGCCGAAAGGCGUAGUCGAUGGGAAACGGGUUAAUAUUCCCGUACUUGGUGUUACUGCGAAGGGGGGACGGAGAAGGCUAUGUUGGCCGGGCGACGGUUGUCCCGGUUUAAGCGUGUAGGUGUGUGUUCCAGGUAAAUCCGGUUCACUUUAACACUGAGGCGUGAUGACGAGGCACUACGGUGCUGAAGCAACAAAUGCCCUGCUUCCAGGAAAAGCCUCUAAGCAUCAGGUAACAUCAAAUCGUACCCCAAACCGACACAGGUGGUCAGGUAGAGAAUACCAAGGCGCUUGAGAGAACUCGGGUGAAGGAACUAGGCAAAAUGGUGCCGUAACUUCGGGAGAAGGCACGCUGACAUGUAGGUGAAGCGGUUUACCCGUGGAGCUGAAAUCAGUCGAAGAUACCAGCUGGCUGCAACUGUUUAUUAAAAACACAGCACUGUGCAAACACGAAAGUGGACGUAUACGGUGUGACGCCUGCCCGGUGCCGGAAGGUUAAUUGAUGGGGUCAGCGCAAGCGAAGCUCCUGAUCGAAGCCCCGGUAAACGGCGGCCGUAACUAUAACGGUCCUAAGGUAGCGAAAUUCCUNGACGCCUGCCCGGUGCCGGAAGGUUAAUUGAUGGGGUCAGCGCAAGCGAAGCUCCUGAUCGAAGCCCCGGUAAACGGCGGCCGUAACUAUAACGGUCCUAAGGUAGCGAAAUUCCUUGUCGGGUAAGUUCCGACCUGCACGAAUGGCGUAAUGAUGGCCAGGCUGUCUCCACCCGAGACUCAGUGAAAUUGAACUCGCUGUGAAGAUGCAGUGUACCCGCGGCAAGACGGAAAGACCCCGUGAACCUUUACUAUAGCUUGACACUGAACAUUGAGCCUUGAUGUGUAGGAUAGGUGGGAGGCUUUGAAGUGUGGACGCCAGUCUGCAUGGAGCCGACCUUGAAAUACCACCCUUUAAUGUUUGAUGUUCUAACGUGGACCCGU
rnacentral:rRNA from 1 species